CUAAUACUCUUGAAGUUCCUGAUGUGUCCCCUCCCCCAUAUCGCGUAGUAGGAAACCGAAAUGGUGAUGCUUGAUAAUAUGCGUCGGUUACAGCAAGAACGAAAUGAUUCCUUCUUGGUGACAAAGGAGUCCAGUAAGGUGCUGGAGUAUCAUAUUGAGAAAACGGAUCUCUCCAUUCAAUGGUUGGGAGCGAGCUCCUCUUCGGGUGGUGCUAUGAAGGAGAAGGCAAUCAAUAGCCAACAAGGUAGACCUCCUGAUGUUCAUAUGAUGGUGUCGUCAGUGAGCAAGAAUAAAGAGGGAAGCUCUUCCUGAGACCGCAACAGUCUGAAGCAAAGGGCGAAUGCCCAACAAUGAUUUCUAGGGGAUUAGGACACUGACAAAGUCAAAGAAUGGCUCCCAGAUGAUGUAGUCAGCAAGAUUGUUGCGAUUCCUCUGCCAUUUCCUUGGAAAGAUAAAGACCAUAUUACGUGGGCUCUCACCUCGGAUGGAUGCUUCAAACUCAAAUAUGCUUAUUAAGAUAUCCAGAAUACCCCUGACAGCUCCAGCAAUAUUUUUCAUCCUUGUUUGGAGUUGGAAAGGACCUGAACGAGAGUGUUUAUUCCUUUGGCUUAUUGCUCAUGACUCCAUUCUUACAAAUGCAAAAAGGAAGAGGCGCCAUCUUAACAAUGACGAUCGUUAUCUCCGGUGUAGAAACGAUGUUGAAUCCACUCUCCAUGUCAUUCGAGACUAUUUUUUUGCUAGGAACGUUUGGUGAAACCUCCUACUUGCCGAUCAAUUCCGACAUUUUCUAAAUUCUGAUAUGUUGAACUGGCUGCAAAGCAAUCUCUUAAAAAGAUCAAAGUGGUCAAACCUAUUUGGCAUUGCAGCAUCUCACCUUUGGUUUUGUCGUAGUAAGCUUGUUUUUGAAGAUAUGUUGAUUUCUGCCGCUACAACUCUUAUCCAAAUUAAAGCUAGGCAUGAAGAAUAUCUAUAUGUUAUGAAUGUGCAUUGGAGGCAGAAGCAUAAUAAGUCAGCUGCUAGUACCUUUAUCCGUUGGCUUCCUCCUCAUGAGAAUGAAAUUAAGCUUAAUGUUGAUGGUUCCUUUUUUAAUAACUAGAAUAGUGUGGCAUGCAGUGGAGUGUUUAGAGAUCACUUGGAGAGAUAUAUCAUUGGUUUUUCUUUCAACUUGGGUAGCUAUUCUAUUAUGCAGGAGGAAAUAUGAGGGGUUGUGUGCGGUCUCCAGAUUGCCAUGGCCAAUAAUUUCAAGCGGCUUGUUAUUGAAACGGAUUCCUCCUCUGUCUUUGAGUUUGUAAGAAAUGGUUGUACUACAAGUCAUUCUUGUGCAUCGAUUCUUGCUGAUAUUAACACUCAUACCCAAUAGCUUAAUGUUUUCGAAUGGUCAUAUACGUACUCUUAGAGAAGCAAAUUAUGUUGCUGAUACGCUUGCUAAAAAGGGACAGACCCUCCUCUUUGGCCUUUAUAUUUUUGAUGUUCUUCCUCCCGAUAUUAGCUUAUUAGUUCUGUAUUUAAAUUGUUUUGGCAUUUUGCAUCCUAGAGGCUUUUAGUUCUGUUUUAUUGUA